rnacentral:rRNA from 1 species
AACAUUUAUUUAUUUAUUUUAUUUUUUAUUUAUUUAAUUUAUUAAAAAUAAUUAUAAAAUUAUAAAGUUUUAGUAUAUUAUAUAGAAAAAAUAAAUUUAAUAAUAGUUUAUUAGUUUUGUAAAAUUAUAUUGAAAUAAUAUGAAAAAUUUUUAUAACAAAAGAAAAUUUUAUUUAUUGUAUCUUGUGUAUCAGAGUUUAUUAAAUAAAAAAUAAUUAUAUUUAUUUUUCUCGAUUUUAAAAGAUUUAAUAAAUUAUAAAAGUUAAUGUAACAAAAUUAUUUUUAAUAAUUUAUUAGAAAUGAAAUUUUAUUCGUUUUUAAAGGUAUCUAGUUUUUUAAGAAAUAAAUUUAAUUUAGUUUUAAAAAUUUAUUUAUUUUAUUAAUUGUAAAUUAAAUAAUUUUUAAAUUUAAUAUUUUAUGGGAUAAGCUAUAAAAUAAAUUUUUAUAAAUAAUAAAUAAAAAUUAAAAUAUUAUAUGUUUAGAAGUAGCAAUUUUUAUUAAAUUUGUUAUAAAUUAAUUUUUAUAAUUAAAUUAUUUAUUAUAUUUUAAAUUUUUAUUAAAAUAUUUAUUUUAAUUUAAAAAAUAAAUUAAUAAUGAUAAAAUUAGUAUAUUUUUAUGUAAUAAUAAAUUUAAAAAUGAUAAGUUUAUGUAAAGAAUUCGGCAAAAAUAAUGUUCGCCUGUUUAACAAAAACAUGUCUUUUAGAAUUUAAUUUAAAGUCUAACCUGCCCAAUGAUUUUAUUUAAUGGCCGCAGUAUCUUAACUGUGCAAAGGUAGCAUAAUCAUUAGUCUUUUAAUUGAAGGCUGGAAUGAAUGGUUGGACGAAAUAUUAACUGUUUCAUUUAAAUUUAUAAUAAAAUUUUAUUUUUCAAUUAAAAAGUUGAAAUAUUGUUAAAAGACGAGAAGACCCUAUAAAUCUUUAUAUAUUUAUUAUUUUAAUUUUUUAGAUUAAUUUAUUUAUAAUAAAAUAAUAUAUUUUAUUGGGGUGAUAUUAAAAUUUAAAUAACUUUUAAAAUUUAUAACAUUAAUUUAUGAAUUAUUGAUCCAUUAAUAAUGAUUAAAAAAUUAAGUUACUUUAGGGAUAACAGCGUAAUUUUUUUGGAGAGUUCAUAUUGAUAAAAAAGAUUGCGACCUCGAUGUUGGAUUAAGAUAUAAAUUUAGGUGUAGCCGUUUAAAUUUUAAGUCUGUUCGACUUUUAAAAUCUUACAUGAUCUGAGUUCAAACCGGUGUAAGCCAGGUUGGUUUCUAUCUUUAAUAAAUUAAAAUAUUUUAGUACGAAAGGAUUAAAUAUUUAAAUAAUUUAUAUUUUUAUUAAAAGAAUAUAAUUAAUUUUUAAACUAUUUUGGCAGAUAAGUGUAAUAAAUUUAG